GAACGGGUGAGUAACACGUGAGGAACUUGCCCAUGAGCGGGGGACAACAUUCGGAAACGGAUGCUAAUACCCCAUAGGUGGAUUGGUCGCAUGACGAAUUCAUUAAAGGUGGCUUUGCUACCACUCAUGGAUAGCCUCGCGGCGUAUUAGCUAGUUGGUAAGGUAAUGGCUUACCAAGGCAGUGAUACGUAGCCGACUUGAGAGGGUGAUCGGCCACACUGGGACUGAGACACGGCCCAGACUCCUACGGGAGGCAGCAGUAGGGAAUCUUCCACAAUGGGUGCAAACCUGAUGGAGCAAUGCCGCGUGAGUGAAGAAGGUCUUCGGAUCGUAAAGCUCUGUUGUUAGAGAAGAACACGUGCUAGGUAACUACUAGCGCCUUGACGGUAUCUAACCAGAAAGUCACGGCUAACUACGUGCCAGCAGCCGCGGUAAUACGUAGGUGACAAGCGUUGUCCGGAUUUAUUGGGCGUAAAGGGAGCGCAGGCGGUCUGUUUAGUCUAAUGUGAAAGCCCACGGCUUAACCGUGGAACGGCAUUGGAAACUGACAGACUUGAAUGUAGAAGAGGAAAAUGGAAUUCCAAGUGUAGCGGUGGAAUGCGUAGAUAUUUGGAGGAACACCAGUGGCGAAGGCGAUUUUCUGGUCGAACAUUGACGCUGAGGCUCGAAAGCGUGGGGAGCGAACAGGAUUAGAUACCCUGGUAGUCCACGCCGUAAACGAUGAGUGCUAAGUGUUGGGGGCUUUCCGGCCCUCGGUGCUGGAGCUAACGUAUUAAGCACUCCGCCUGGGGAUUACGACCGCAAGGU
rnacentral:rRNA from 1 species